rnacentral:rRNA from 1 species
GACGAACGCUGGCGGCGUGCUUAACACAUGCAAGUCGAACGGAAAGGCCCUGCUUUUGUGGGGUGCUCGAGUGGCGAACGGGUGAGUAACACGUGAGUAACCUGCCCUUGACUUUGGGAUAACUUCAGGAAACUGGGGCUAAUACCGGAUAGGAGCUCCUGCUGCAUGGUGGGGGGUGGAAAGUUUCGGCGGUUGGGGAUGGACUCGCGGCUUAUCAGUUUGUUGGUGGGGUAGUGGCUUACCAAGGCUUUGACGGGUAGCCGGCCUGAGAGGGUGACCGGCCACAUUGGGACUGAGAUACGGCCCAGACUCCUACGGGAGGCAGCAGUGGGGAAUAUUGCACGAUGGGCGGAAGCCUGAUGCAGGAACGCCGCGUGCGGGAUGACGGCCUUCGGGUUGUAAACCGCUUUCGCCUGUGACGAAGCGUGAGUGACGGUAAUGGGUAAAGAAGCACCGGCUAACUACGUG